UCCCUGGUGGUCCAGUGGCUAAGACUCUGCAUUCCCAAUGCAGGGGGCCCAGGUUGAAUUCCUGAUCAAGGAA
rnacentral:tRNA from 1 species